rnacentral:rRNA from 1 species
UGGGGAAUUUUGGACAAUGGGCGAAAGCCUGAUCCAGCAAUGCCGCGUGUGUGAAGAAGGCCUUCGGGUUGUAAAGCACUUUUGUCCGGAAAGAAAUCCUCUGGGUUAAUACCUCGGGGGGAUGACGGUACCGGAAGAAUAAGCACCGGCUAACUACGUGCCAGCAGCCGCGGUAAUACGUAGGGUGCAAGCGUUAAUCGGAAUUACUGGGCGUAAAGCGUGCGCAGGCGGUUUUGUAAGACGGAUGUGAAAUCCCCGGGCUUAACCUGGGAACUGCAUUCGUGACUGCAAGGCUAGAGUAUGGCAGAGGGGGGUAGAAUUCCACGUGUAGCAGUGAAAUGCGUAGAGAUGUGGAGGAAUACCGAUGGCGAAGGCAGCCCCCUGGGCCAAUACUGACGCUCAUGCGCGAAAGCGUGGGGAGCAAACAGGAUUAGAUACCCUGGUAGUCCACGCCCUAAACGAUGUCAACUAGUUGUUGGGGAUUCAUUUCCUUAGUAACGUAGCUAACGCGUGAAGUUGACCGCCUGGGGAGUACGGUCGCAAGAUUAAAACUCAAAGGAAUUGACGGGGUCAUAGCUGUUUCCU